AGAGUUUGAUCAUGGCUCNUNUUAAACGCUGGCGGCAUGCCUUACACAUGCANGUCGAACGGCAGCACGGGGGCAACCCUGGUGGCGAGUGGCGAACGGGUGAGUAAAGCAUCGGAACGUGCCCUAGAGUGGGGGAUAACGUAGCGAAAGUUACGCUAAUACCGCAUAUUCUGUGAGCAGGAAAGCAGGGGAUCGCAAGACCUUGCGCUUUGGGAGCGGCCGAUGUCGGAUUAGCUAGUUGGUGGGGUAAAGGCCUACCAAGGCGACGAUCCGUAGCGGGUCUGAGAGGAUGAUCCGCCACACUGGGACUGAGACACGGCCCAGACUCCUACGGGAGGCAGCAGUGGGGAAUUUUGGACAAUGGGCGAAAGCCUGAUCCAGCCAUGCCGCGUGAGUGAAGAANGCCUUCGGGUUGUAAAGCUCUUUCGGUGGGGAAGAAAUUGCACGGGUUAAUACCCUGUGUAGAUGACGGUACCUGGAGAAGAAGCACCGGCUAACUACGUGCCAGCAGCCCGCGGUAAUACGUAGGGUGCGAGCGUUAAUCGGAAUUACUGGCGUAAAGCGUGCGCAGGCGGUUUGGUAAGUUAGAUGUGAAAUCCCCGGGCUCAACCUGGGAACUGCAUUUNAGACUGCCAAGCUGGAAGUUUGGCAGAGGGGGGUGGAAUUCCACGUGUAGC
rnacentral:rRNA from 1 species